GUAGCCGGCCAAAGUUCUUUGCAAAGUGGCGAGCGAAAGAUCGCUGAGUACCCGCGUCCGAGCUGGAGAGGAGCGGGGCUAAGCUGGGAAGUGCCGGGCAGAAGGGAAACAGAAGGAAGGGGAGGAGGAUAUUCUUCUCAGGGAUUUGAGCUGGGGUCUGCAUCCUGGCCAUUGCAGUCCGCUUAGCAUCCUCGCCGCGCUCUGAGCGCGUUCGAGGCGCACAGGCUGCGCCCUCCCAGGGUCGUGUCCUGCUCCGCUGUUCUGGGACGUCGGGGGCAAAAGUGGAGGAGACGGGAGAGCUCGGGCAGAGAAAGCAGGACGCGCAUCCCAGCUGCUGGCCACCCCCAGAUGGAGUUUCGCUCCGCCUGCCACUCUUUGCAAAGAUAAUGUGGAGUGAAGAGCCCUCCAAUCCACAGUGGACUUCUAACAUGAAUAGGAAAUAAUCUUUUGUCACUAACCACCACCAAGCAUUCCUUAAUUCAUGUGGUAUAGGAAAAGCUUAAAGGAGUUAUUUCAGUAUCAAAUCCACUUCUGUCCCUUUCUUAUCAGCUUAUGACAAUAAAGCAUCACUGUUGGCACCCAAUAAACAUAAGCUAAAAUGUGA